GAAAUGGGUGUGUUCUAAACCCAUAAUGCCCUCUCCUCACCCGUGCCUCCUAGGUGACUUGGAUGAGGAUAUAAUCCCGGAAGAAGAUAUCAUUUCCCGAAGCCAGUUCCCUGAGAGCUGGCUAUGGCGCAUGGAGGAUCUCAAUGAACCUGCAAAAGAUGGAAUCUCCACAAAGACCAUGAAUAUAUUUUUGAAAGACUCCAUCACCACCUGGGAGAUUCUGGCCGUGAGCUUGUC